rnacentral:rRNA from 1 species
GAGAAGUCGAUAAAGUUUACUUUGUUGAUGGAGAGUGGCGGACGAGCGAGUAACACGUAACUACCUGCCCUAUACUCAGGGAUAACGGUCCGAAAGGAUCGCUAAUACCGGAUGGUCUCGAAAGAGUAAGGCUUUUGCGGUAUAGGAGGGGGUUGCGGCUUAUCAGUUUGUUGGUGGGGUAAAGGCCUACCAAGACUAUGACGAGUAGCUGGUGUGAGAGCAUGACCAGCCGCGAUGGGACUGAGACACGGCCCAUACUCCUACGGGAGGCAGCAGUAAGGAAUCUUCCGCAAUGGACGAAAGUCUGACGGAGCGACACCGCGUGAAGGAUGAAGCAUCUAGGUGUGUAAACUUCUUUUAUGAGGGAAGAAAAUCUGACGGUACCUCAUGAAUAAGGACCGGCUAAUUACGUGCCAGCAGCCGCGGUAAUACGUAAGGUCCAAGCAUUAACCGAAAUUACUGGGCGUAAAGCGUCCGCAGGUGGUUGUGAAAGUCUGUUAUUAAAUACCGGUGCUCAACAUCGGUGCUGUAAUGGAAACUUCUAACUAGAGGAUGAGAGAGGAGUGUGGAAUUAUGCAAGUAGGGGUAAAAUCCGUAGAUAUGCAUAGGAACACCAAAAGCGAAGGCAACACUCUGGCUCAUUCCUGACACUCA